rnacentral:rRNA from 1 species
AGUGUAGGCGGUUAUAUCAGUCGGAUGUGAAAGCCCCGGGCUUAACCUGGGAAUUGCAUUCGAUACUGUAUAGCUAGAGUUUGGUAGAGGUAAGUGGAAUUCCGGGUGUAGCGGUGAAAUGCGUAGAUAUCCGGAGGAACAUCAGUGGCGAAGGCGGCUUACUGGACCAAAACUGACGCUGAGGCUCGAAAGCGUGGGGAGCAAACA